rnacentral:rRNA from 1 species
GGUUAAGCGACUAAGCGUACACGGUGGAUGCCCUGGCAGUCAGAGGCGAUGAAGGACGUGCUAAUCUGCGAUAAGCGCCGGUAAGGUGAUAUGAACCGUUAUAACCGGCGAUUUCCGAAUGGGGAAACCCAGUGUGACUCGUCACACUAUCAUUAACUGAAUCCAUAGGUUAAUGAGGCGAACCGGGGGAACUGAAACAUCUAAGUACCCCGAGGAAAAGAAAUCAACCGAGAUUCCCCCAGUAGCGGCGAGCGAACGGGGAGGAGCCCAGAGCCUGAAUCAGCAUGUGUGUUAGUGGAAGCGUCUGGAAAGGCGCGCGAUACAGGGUGACAGCCCCGUACACAAAAGCGCAUGUGCUGUGAGCUCGAUGAGUAGGGCGGGACACGUGGUAUCCUGUCUGAAUAUGGGGGGACCAUCCUCCAAGGCUAAAUACUCCUGACUGACCGAUAGUGAACCAGUACCGUGAGGGAAAGGCGAAAAGAACCCCGGCGAGGGGAGUGAAAAAGAACCUGAAACCGUGUACGUACAAGCAGUGGGAGCCCCACCACUAAGCCAGUGGUGAACUCCACAUACGCAUCCUUUGCUGAGGAUACGGUUAACGGAGCGAAAGCGACGUUCAACCUCAAAAGAAGCAGAGGGGGCUUAGUGGUGGGGUGACUGCGUACCUUUU